rnacentral:rRNA from 1 species
AACGAGACCUUCGGGUCUAGUGGCGCACGGGUGCGUAACGCGUGGGGAUCUACCAUAGGGUGCGGAAUAACUCAGAGAAAUUUGAGCUAAUACCGCAUAAUGUCUUCGGACCAAAGAUUUAUCGCCCUUUGAUGAACCCGCGUAAGAUUAGCUUGUUGGUGAGGUAAAGGCUCACCAAGGCGACGAUCUUUAGCUGGUCUGAGAGGAUGAUCAGCCACACUGGGACUGAGACACGGCCCAGACUCCUACGGGAGGCAGCAGUGGGGAAUAUUGGACAAUGGGCGAAAGCCUGAUCCAGCAAUGCCGCGUGAGUGAUGAAGGCCUUAGGGUUGUAAAGCUCUUUUACCAGGGAUGAUAAUGACAGUACCUGGAGAAUAAGCUCCGGCUAACUCCGUGCCAGCAGCCGCGGUAAUACGGAGGGAGCUAGCGUUGUUCGGAAUUACUGGGCGUAAAGCGCGCGUAGGCGGUUACUCAAGUCAGAGGUGAAAGCCCGGAGCUCAACUCCGGAACUGCCUUU